rnacentral:rRNA from 1 species
GACGAACGCUGGCGGCGUGCUUAACACAUGCAAGUCGAACGGAAAGGCCCUGCUUUUGUGGGGUGCUCGAGUGGCGAACGGGUGAGUAACACGUGAGUAACCUGCCCUUGACUUUGGGAUAACUUCAGGAAACUGGGGCUAAUACCGGAUAGGAGCUCCUGCUGCAUGGUGGGGGUUGGAAAGUUUCGGCGGUUGGGGAUGGACUAGCGGCUUAUCAGCUUGUUGGUGGGGUAGUGGCUUACCAAGGCUUUGACGGGUAGCCGGCCUGAGAGGGUGACCGGCCACAUUGGGACUGAGAUACGGCCCAGACUCCUACGGGAGGCAGCAGUGGAGAAUAUUGCACAAUGGGCGGAAGCCUGAUGCAGCAACGCCGCGUGCGGGAUGACGGCCUUCGGGUUGUAAACCGCUUUCGCCUGUGACGAAGCGUGAGUGACGGUAAUGGGUAAAGAAGCACCGGCUAACUACGUG